CCAAUUGGUUUUUAGAGAGAGAAGGUGGCAGCAGCAGCAGUGGGAAAGAAGAAGGUCUUUUCCUGCCUCUGUGAUUGUCUCUGCCCUUCGAAUCUCUAGGGUUUGGCUUUGGCUCCGUUAGCUGUUGAGAGGGGAGCAUUUACAUGUGGAGGCAACAAGGAGGGGUGGCUUUGAGAAGAUAGUUGCAGAGAAGAAAUGGAGGGAAGUGGGAGGUGUUUUCAUGUUCUCCCCAACACAACAAGUGCUUCAUUUGUGCUGAGGAAACACUACUCAACCCUUCUCUGCCAUUACGAGCAGGCUGAUGCUGGUGGCAACGAAACCAUAGACUAUGAUGAGUUCAUCGCAGCAACAAUGCACUUGAACUGGAUGGAUAGAGAACAUCUCUACACUACCUUCUAACACUUCGAUAAAGACAACAGCGG